AAGUCGUAACAAGGUUUCCGUAGGUGAACCUGCGGAAGGAUCAUUAUCCAUCUCACCAGGUGUGGUUGCGGCCCCCAGGGGCGUGGGCGUCUUCUGGCGCCCUCUCCCCCGGGCGGUAGGGGUAACACCCUCACGCGCCACAUUUCUGAAUCCUUUUUUUACGAGCACCUUUCGUUCUCCUUCGGUGGGGCAACCUGCCGCUGGAACCUAUCAAACUCUUUUGCAUCUAGCAUUACCUGUUCUGAUACAAACAAUCGUUACAACUUUCAACAAUGGAUCUCUUGGCUCUG
rnacentral:misc_RNA from 1 species